GCCCGCAUGGGUCAGUGGUUGAGCAUCUACCUAUGAACUAGAAGGUCAUGGGUUCGAUUCCCAGUCAGGGCA
rnacentral:tRNA from 1 species